rnacentral:rRNA from 1 species
AGCUCCAAUAGCGUAUAUUAAAAUUGCUGCAGUUAAAAAGCUCGUAGUUGGAUUUCUGGUGUGGUGCGCCGAGCCCGCAUCCGUUUAGGAUGUGUGUGCUUGCUGUGCGCCUACCAUCCUUCCGGAGAGGCCGAUCUGCCCUUAACUGGAACGGGUCGCGUCGAUCUGGAUCGUUUACUUUGAAAAAAUUAGAGUGUUUAAAGCAGGCGUUUGCUAUGAAUACAUUAGCAUGGAAUAAUAAGAUAGGACUUUGGUUCUAUUUUGUUGGUUUCUAGGACUGAAGUAAUGAUUGAUAGGGACAGUUGGGGGUGCUAGUAUUUAACGGCCAGAGGUGAAAUUCUUGGAUUCGUUAAAGACUAACUUAUGCGAAAGCAUUCACCAAGGAUGUCUUCU